rnacentral:rRNA from 1 species
GACGAACGCUGGCGGCGUGCUUAACACAUGCAAGUCGAACGGAAAGGCCCUGCUUUUGUGGGGUGCUCGAGUGGCGAACGGGUGAGUAACACGUGAGUAACCUGCCCUUGACUUUGGGAUAACUUCAGGAAACUGGGGCUAAUACCGGAUAGGAGCUCCUGCUGCAUGGUGGGGGUUGGAAAGUUUCGGCGGUUGGGGAUGGACUCGCGGCUUAUCAGCUUGUUGGUGGGGUAGUGGCUUACCAAGGCUUUGACGGGUAGCCGGCCUGAGAGGGUGACCGGCCACAUUGGGACUGAGAUACGGCCCAGACUCCUACGGGAGGCAGCAGUGGGGAAUAUUGCACAAUGGGCGGAAGCCUGAUGCAGCAACGCCGCGUGCGGGAUGACGGCCUUCGGGUUGUAAACCGCUUUCGCCUGUGACGAAGCGUGAGUGACGGUAAUGGGUAAAGAAGCACCGGCUAACUACGUGCCAGCAGCCGCGGUGAUACGUAGGGUGCGAGCGUUGUCCGGAUUUAUUGGGCGUAAAGGGCUCGUAGGUGGUUGAUCGCGUCGGAAGUGUAAUCUUGGGGCUUAACCCUGAGCGUGCUUUCGAUACGGGUUGACUUGAGGAAGGUAGGGGAGAAUGGAAUUCCUGGUGGAGCGGUGGAAUGCGCAGAUAUCAGGAGGAACACCAGUGGCGAAGGCGGUUCUCUGGGCCUUUCCUGACGCUGAGGAGCGAAAGCGUGGGGAGCGAACAGGCUUAGAUACCCUGGUAGUCCACGCUGUAAACGGUGGGUACUAGGUGUGGGGUCCAUUCCACGGGUUCCGUGCCGUAGCUAACGCUUUAAGUACCCCGCCUGGGGAGUACGGCCGCAAGGCUAAAACUCAAAGGAAUUGACGGGGCCCCGCACAAGCGGCGGAGCAUGCGGAUUAAUUCGAUGCAACGCGUAGAACCUUACCUGGGUUUGACAUGGAUCGGGAGCGCUCAGAGAUGGGUGUGCCUCUUUUGGGGUCGGUUCACAGGUGGUGCAUGGCUGUCGUCAGCUCGUGUCGUGAGAUGUUGGGUUAAGUCCCGCAACGAGCGCAACCCUUGUUCACUGUUGCCAGCACGUUAUGGUGGGGACUCAGUGGAGACCGCCGGGGUCAACUCGGAGGAAGGUGGGGAUGACGUCAAGUCAUCAUGCCCCUUAUGUCCAGGGCUUCACGCAUGCUACAAUGGCUGGUACAGAGAGUGGCGAGCCUGUGAGGGUGAGCGAAUCUCGGAAAGCCGGUCUCAGUUCGGAUUGGGGUCUGCAACUCGACCUCAUGAAGUCGGAGUCGCUAGUAAUCGCAGAUCAGCAACGCUGCGGUGAAUACGUUCCCGGGGCUUGUACACACCGCCCGUCAAGCCAUGAAAGUUGGUAACACCCGAAGCCGGUGGCCUAACCGUUGUGGGGGAGCCGUCGAAGGUGGGACUGGUGAUUAGGACU